rnacentral:rRNA from 1 species
AUUGAACGCUGGCGGUAGGCCUAACACAUGCAAGUCGAGCGGAUGAAGGGAGCUUGCUCCUGGAUUCAGCGGCGGACGGGUGAGUAAUGCCUAGGAAUCUGCCUGGUAGUGGGGGAUAACGUCCGGAAACGGGCGCUAAUACCGCAUACGUCCUGAGGGAGAAAGUGGGGGAUCUUCGGACCUCACGCUAUCAGAUGAGCCUAGGUCGGAUUAGCUAGUUGGUGGGGUAAAGGUCUACCAAGGCGACGAUCCGUAACUGGUCUGAGAGGAUGAUCAGUCACACUGGAACUGAGACACGGUCCAGACUCCUACGGGAGGCAGCAGUGGGGAAUAUUGGACAAUGGGCGAAAGCCUGAUCCAGCCAUGCCGCGUGUGUGAAGAAGGUCUUCGGAUUGUAAAGCACUUUAAGUUGGGAGGAAGGGCAGUAAGUUAAUACCUUGCUGUUUUGACGUUACCAACAGAAUAAGCACCGGCUAACUUCGUG